rnacentral:rRNA from 1 species
UACGUAGGGCGCAAGCGUUGUCCGGAAUUAUUGGGCGUAAAGAGCUCGUAGGUGGCUUGUCACGUCGGGUGUGAAAGCUUGGGGCUUAACUCCAGGUCUGCAUUCGAUACGGGCUGGCUAGAGGUAGGUAGGGGAGAACGGAAUUCCUGGUGUAGCGGUGAAAUGCGCAGAUAUCAGGAGGAACACCGGUGGCGAAGGCGGCAUCCUGGACCAAAUCUGACGCUGAGGAGCGAAAGCCAGGGGAGCAAACGGG